rnacentral:rRNA from 1 species
CCUACGGGAGGCAGCAGUGGGGAAUAUUGGGCAAUGGGCGCAAGCCUGACCCAGCAACGCCGCGUGAAGGAAGAAGGCUUUCGGGUUGUAAACUUCUUUUCUGAGGGACGAAGAAAGUGACGGUACCUCAGGAAUAAGCCACGGCUAACUACGUGCCAGCAGCCGCGGUAAUACGUAGGUGGCAAGCGUUAUCCGGAUUUAUUGGGUGUAAAGGGCGUGUAGGCGGGAAAGCAAGUCAGAUGUGAAAACUCAGGGCUCAACCCUGAGCCUGCAUUUGAAACUGUUUUUCUUGAGUGCUGGGGAGGCAAUCGGAAUUUCGGGGUGAGCGGUGAAAUGGGUAGAUAUACGGAGGAACAACAGUGGCGAAGGCGGAUUGCUUGACAGUAACUGACGCUGAGGCGCGAAAGCGUGGGGAGCAAACAGGAUUAGAUACCCCAGUAGUC